AGGGUAGUAGCUCAGUGGUAGAGCUCCCGCUUCGUCUAGGGGAAGACCUGGGUUCGAUCCCCGGCUGCCUCC
rnacentral:tRNA from 1 species